rnacentral:rRNA from 1 species
GCAAGUCGAAGGAGAAGUUUCUCUUCGGAGAGAUGGACACUGGCGCACGGGUGAGUAACGCGUGGGAAUCUACCCCGGGGUGGGGGACAACCGCUGGAAACGGCGGCUAAUACCGCAUACGCCUUGAGAGGGAAAGCUUUAGCGCCCUGGGAUGAGCCCGCGUUAGAUUAGGUUGUUGGUGGGGUAAUGGCCUACCAAGCCUACGAUCUAUAGCUGGUCUGAGAGGAUGAUC